rnacentral:lncRNA from 12 species
UACAGAUGAGAUACAGGUUUGAUCUCUGGGUAUUUACAAGCAGUGUGGCUUUCUACAAUUGCCUGCUAGUUUCAGUCUGAUCUGAAGCACGCUGACUUCUGCAGUGUCCCAUUUGUUCCUGUGGGUGUUUGCUUCAGCCCCCAACAAAUGUUCUUUCUGGCUAUUUGUGCUUUUUCUAGGGAGUUGUAGCUGAUCAUGCGGUGAAUCUGGAGCCUGAGUUACUUAGAAAUGACACUGAUUCUUUUGUGAAGUGCCCCCACCUCAUCAGAAGUUGCCAGGACAGCUGUUUUCCUCUGUGGCAGCCUCUUCCUGAUGCUCUUGUGCAGCGUUUCCAGCUCCCCUUCAUCCAUUUCUGUGAUUACCUCAAAUACAUGCUGCUGCAGUAACCAAGUCCA